GCACCUGUAGCUCAAGCGGAAGAGCGGCUGACCUGUAAUCAGCAGAAUGGGUUUUCGAGUAACCCCGGGUGCUCCA
rnacentral:tRNA from 1 species